rnacentral:rRNA from 1 species
AUUGAACGCUGGCGGCAGGCCUAACACAUGCAAGUCGAGCGGAUGAAGGGAGCUUGCUCCUGGAUUCAGCGGCGGACGGGUGAGUAAUGCCUAUGAAUCUGCCUGGUAGUGGGGGAUAACGUCCGGAAACGGGCGCUAAUACCGCAUACGUCCUGCGGGAGAAAGUGGGGGAUCUUCGGACCUCACGCUAUCAGAUGAGCCUAGGUCGGAUUAGCUAGUUGGUGGGGUAAAGGCCUACCAAGGCGACGAUCCGUAACUGGUCUGAGAGGAUGAUCAGUCACACUGGAACUGAGACACGGACCAGACUCCUAAGGGAGGCAGCAGUGGGGAAUAUUGGACAAUGGGCGAAAGCAUGAUCCAGCCAUGCCGCGUGUGUGAAGAAGGUCUUCGGAUUGUAAAGCACUCUAAGUUGGGAGGAAGGGCAGUAAGUUAAUACCUUGCUGUUUUGACGGUACCAAGAGAAUAAGCACCGGCUAACUACGUG